ensembl:snRNA U6 U6 spliceosomal RNA
GUGCUCACUUCGGCAGCACAUAUACUAAAAUUGCAAUGAUACAGAGAAGAUUAGUAUGGUUCCUGUGCAAGGAUGACACGCAAAUUCAUGAAACAUUCCAUAUUUUU